GCCCAGGUGAUGGAAUUGGUAGACAUGCUGGUCUUAGAAACCAGUGCUUAAACGCGUGGGGGUUCGAGUCCCCCCUUGGGCACCA
rnacentral:tRNA from 2 species